CUGGGGUUAGACUGUUGCGGGGGAGGGGGACUCACAUACUGCCUGAAAUAAUAGAGCAGUUGGCCACCUGUGGAGUCUGUGGUGAAGGGGUUCCCAGUUAAUGAUGGGAAGGCGGACAACCACCUCAUGAGAAGAAACAAACAUUUCAAAGAUAAAGGCCAGAAGCUUCUGUUGGGAAGAUAAAAGUACAGAACUUGCAUAUUAUGAAUCUUCAAGGAAUAUCUGUUAGAAUGAAUUGAAAUAAAAUGAAGAACAACACAUUAAAUGUAAUAAAAACAAUACAUUGAUUUGUUUUCUGUUAUAGUGUCUCUUUAAAGAUCACUGAAUUGUCUAGGUAUAGAUCAUGUGGCAUUACUUAUUAAGAUGUAAAAGGGAUGAGGACAUUUUCUUAAUUUUCAUAAGGAAAAACAUAAAGAUCAUGCAUAUCAGGAAUCCUGAUAUUUGGGCAAUGCUUUUUUAUUGUUGAUGUUUUUGUUAUCUGGAUAAAAGGCCAUGAGUGAUAAUGGUGACACAUGUUCUCAUUUGUAAUUUCGUUUUUAAUUUUAAAAUGAAUGUCAAUAUAGUUUUAAUAAUUGUUUUCUGACAUUGUUGAACCAUAUUUUCUCCCUUCCUCCCAACGCCAAUCUGAAGGUAAUAUGAUGUAGGUUGUAUAUAUGUUAUUAUAUAUUAAUAUAUAUAAUUAAUUAAUAUAAAUGGAAAUAUGUAUUUCCAUUUCAUCAUUCUAUGAAAGAUAUGUAUCUAC